ACGCGUCUUGGUUAUUGAUGUUAGAUGCUUGCAUUUAACUGACUUUCAUUGAGACGAGUGGCGAACUGGUGAGUAACACGUGGGCUAACCUGCCCUUGAAGUAGGGGAUAACACUUGGAAACAGGUGCUAAUACCGUAUAACAACCAAAACCACCUGGUUUUGGUUUAAAAGAUGGCUUCGGCUAUCACUUUAGGAUGGACCCGCGGCGUAUUAGCUUGUUGGUAAGGUAACGGCCUACCAAGGCAAUGAUACGUAGCCGACCUGAGAGGGUAAUCGGCCACAUUGGGACUGAGACACGGCCCAAACUCCUACGGGAGGCAGCAGUAGGGAAUCUUCCACAAUGGACGAAAGUCUGAUGGAGCAACGCCGCGUGAGUGAUGAAGGGUUUCGGCUCGUAAAACUCUGUUGUUGGAGAAGAACAGGUGUGAGAGUAACUGUUCACAUCUUGACGGUAUCCAACCAGAAAGCCACGGCUAACUACGUGCCAGCAGCCGCGGUAAUACGUAGGUGGCAAGCGUUGUCCGGAUUUAUUGGGCGUAAAGCGAGCGCAGGCGGUUUCUUAGGUCUGAUGUGAAAGCCUUCGGCUUAACCGGAGAAGUGCAUCGGAAACCAGGAGACUUGAGUGCAGAAGAGGACAGUGGAACUCCAUGUGUAGCGGUGAAAUGCGUAGAUAUAUGGAAGAACACCAGUGGCGAAGGCGGCUGUCUGGUCUGUAACUGACGCUGAGGCUCGAAAGCAUGGGUAGCGAACAGGAUUAGAUACCCUGGUAGU
rnacentral:rRNA from 1 species